UCUAUGAUCUUGCAUCUAAGAAGUAUUUGGUCUCCAGGGAUGUUCUCUUUCAUGAAUCAGUUUUUCCUUUUAAAUCUGUGCCUCCUUCUGCUCCUCCUCCUGCCUCUUCUUUUCCCUUUAUUCCUUCUGGAGAACAUGAUUAUGCCUCUGAUUCUCCCAUUCCUCUCUCUCCUCCAUCUUCUUCCACAUCUGUGCAGCUGCCUUUUCUUACUCCUUUCAGUCCUGCUAAUUCCCCUUCUGUUUUAGUUCCUUCUCCCUCUGUUCCUGCUCCCAGAAAGUCUCACAGACCACAUAAUCCUCCUUCCUAUCUUAAGGAUUAUGUUUGUCAACUCCCUGCCUUCUCUGGCUCAUCUUCCUCCUCUUUGGAAUCUGAGCCUCUCUAUUAUUCUCAGGCUGCAUCUGUUCCAGCAUGGCAAGCUGCCAUGAGACAGGAGUUUGAAGCUUUGGACACUAACCAUACUUGGGAUGUUAUCUGUUCCAGCAUGGCAAGCUUCCAUGAGAUAGGAGUUUGAAGCUUUGGACACUAACCAUACUUGGGAUGUUGUCCCACUUCCUCCUAGUAAGAAACCCAUUGGUUGCAAAUGGAUUUACAAAAUAAAAUACAAGGCUGAUGGCAGUGUUGAG
rnacentral:lncRNA from 1 species